UUGGGGUUCAGCUGAAUCUUCUUGGUUACCACAUGGACACUGAAGAAAUAUACUCAGAUACAUCUGUCAUUUCAACCUAAGCUAUGAACAAAAAGUAUGAUGGUAAUGUACCAGAAGCCUCAGGCUUGGUUCUAAUCACAAACGGGGUGGACAGUCGGAGCAGGACCCUUUCAAAUGAGGCAUUAACCUUGGGAGAAACAAUUUCGAAGCAGUCCUCAAAAUUGAGCACUUUGUCCAGCCGGUAGAUCUUCUUUCCUGCGGCCUUGAUCAUGCCCAGCAUUGCAAAGCCCACCACAGGGUGAGGGUGGAAGUAGUGGAGCAGAAGUGCACCUUCGGGGAGCUCUUUGCACAAGAACGACGGAGACUCCAGAGUGGCCUGUUUUCCAAAAGAAGUUCUAAUGUGCUCCAACAGGGCAUCAAAGCCGUUAAAAAAGUCCUGCAAUGUGCCACCCACAGCUCGAAGGACUCGCUCAUUCUCAUCAAAGCAUAUAUUAAAGAACUCCUCACCAAAUC